UCUGGCUAUAUGAUCUGGACCACUUUUGGAAAUGACUCGGCUUAUGUUAAAUCAAGGAUGGUUUUAAUGGAUGCCAUUCAAUGUAGGCGACUUUCUUUAACACAAAUGUAGAUUUUUAACUCCAACCGUUUUAGUCUGUCCAUAACAAAAGACAGUAAAAAACAAAACAUGGUCAGACAAAUCCAAAUUAAACCCUGCUGCUCGUUGAUGUCCUAAGACACGAAACGAUCGGUUUCUGUGAGAAACCGAACUGUAUUAUAUAAUUUAUACCUCUAAUACGGCGCCUUCUUCUUCUUUUGAGUUUUAAUGGCGGGUUGCGAAGCAACGUCAUAGUUGCAUACUGCCAUCUACUGUAUCGGAUGCACGGCUUGAGGGCUAUACAGGGACACCCGAAACCGUAGGUGGCGGUAUGCACCUAUGAAGUUGCUUCGCAACCCGCCAUUAAAACUCUAAAGAAGAAGGUGCUGUGCACGGGCUCAUUUGACUACGCAUAGUACUGUAUUAGAGGUAAAAAAAAUUAUAUAAAUACUGUUCGGCUUCUCGCACAAACCGAUCGUUUCGUUUCUUAGGAUAUCAAUGUGUCGUCACGAGCGGCAGGGUUUAAUUUGGAUUUGUCUGUGCAUGUUUUUACUGUCUGAGAUUUUGUUACUAUUCACAUGCAUACAGACUGAAACGGUUGGAGUUUCUACAUUUGUGUUGUACUGAAGAAACAAAAUCACAUACAUCUUGGAUGGCCUCGGGGUAAGCUGAUAAAUACAAAAAAUUCAUUUUAAGAUGAAUCCCGUACGUUGGCGGCUGUUUUAAACUGGGUGCUCGGCUCAGACCCUUUUGCCAGUAUGAAGCCGAUUUCAACGGUAACUGCAGAAAGCGUCAGCACGCUCAGCUCAUCACUGGAGUAACGUCUGUACAACGGGUGAGAUAAAACUCAACGCCUGACUGAAUCAUCCAUUCCCUUUUCGAUCCUACGCCAUACGUUAAACUUGAGCUAAGUCUUGUGUUCAGUUUCCUUAAAAAGCAUCAACAUUCACGCUAAGCAUAGUUUCAAUCGAGUUCCCGUCACAUCAUAUAUUAACUCUAUUUCGAACUGUUGCUGAUUACAUGUUGGUUAUUAUUGAUUCGUUCAUGUUCCUUUGACAUGUUCAUGUACUUUUUUCCAGAUGAAACAAACAUAAAGAAUUCAUAAUUCAUUUAAGAAUUAUUAAUUAGGACAACAUCAAAUUGUUUAUCAUGUCUGAGAAAAGUAGUGCAAAUUUUGGAUAAUAUGAAAGUGGCUCCAACUUUUAUGGCGCGAACGAAGCUAGCAUUGACUAGCUGGGAUGUUAAAUAAUGGGACGCAAUUUUUAUUAAAUGCAAUUUACGUGAUUAAUAUUUACAAGCAUAGUGUUCUUUGGAAGAAAAUUAAGUGGAACAAAAUGUUAGCUGGUAGUGCUGUGACAAAUCGCAGUUGAUCCGAACCACGGUUCGGCUCGCAUGUGAUUCGCGGAUUAAUAUAUACCAGUGUAUGGAAUGUCACAAUUAUAGAUUUGUGUGUAAACUUAAACAUGUCUUGAUGGACCCUAAUUUAUGCACUGUGCAGUUAUGCUGGUAGUUGGGUAAUGUCAUAAUGGUUAUUGGGUUGGGCUUGGACUAAAAAAGGGAAAUUGUAAUGGUUUAGUAUAAUAAGACAUUAUGUAUGGUUUUGUACAAUGCUAAUCUUUUUUUCUUUUUUCCUCAGGUAAUCUUGCUUUUGCUGUUCUAAAAUAAACACUGCUCUUAGCACACCACCCAUACAUGGCACACAAAACAGGUCUUGUGAGGGGGCUGUGCCCACAGGUAGAAAUUCUGUAGGUCCACGGGCUUCUCCCCUUUCAGCGAACAUCACAGCGCUUAGUCCACCAUCGUGGUCUCCAAUCUCCAUUACCAACAGCCUGAGUGCUACACCUACAGACACCCCAACCCAUGCAGCAGCUGGCAGAAGUCAGACAUCAGGCCAAACUGGAUUUCAACACACCCCACCCUUACAUGGCACACAAGUAUAUGACACACAACACAGGUCUUCUCAGGAGGCUGUGCCUACAGCAAUAGGCUUUACGCCCAGCUGCACUACUUCCUGAACUUCAGCCAGCUCCUUGUUUCCUGUCUGCCAUUAUUGGACAAACUGAUUAAUCCAGGUGUGCCUGAGCUUAGUAGUCACAACAACAAUAAUCAGACACACCUGGAUUUAUCAGUUUGUCCAGUAAUGGCAGACAGGAAACAAGGAGCUUAAAGCCUAUUGCUAAGGAGAUCCUCAUCCAGCUCGAUUUUAUUAGAGAGCAGCAGUUGCAGACUUCACCCCAGACCCAACACAUUUUGGGCUGCCACUUUCAACUAUUGAGGAGCUACAAUGUUUGAAGGAGACAUUAAAUAAUCCAGAUGAGAAGAAGAAUUUGGUGAGACUGUUUUUCCUGGAAUGGUCGGAGACAAGACUCUUAAAGACACCGUGGGGUGGGUCCUGAAAAAAACUAUGAACUCUUCGUGGUGAGACUCAUCAAUUGAAGUGGGGUCAACUGAACGCCUGCAUUCAAAGGGCUCACUUUGAAAAGUGUGGUUUUGGAUGCAGUCCGCCGGAAUGCCCUGACCAAAGAUAACACAGAAAAGGAGAUAGAGCUCCUCAUCACCAGGUGGUCGGUGCUAGCAUAUGACAGGGAUGGUGGCCGAAUCCAGACAAUAGACAGACAAUGAAUUAAAAUGUUUUAAAUUUAAAAAUGUUGAUUUUUG